AGAACGAACGCUGACGGCAGGCCUCAAACAUGCAAGUCUAGGGGGUGUAGCAAUACAUCACCGGCGGACGGGUGCGUAACGCGUGGGAAUGUACCUAUUGGUUCGGAACAACUGAGGGAAACUUCAGCUAAUACCGGAUGAGCCCGAAAGGGGAAAGAUUUCUCGCCAAUAGAUCAGCCCGCGUCCGAUUAGCUAGUUGGUGGGGUUAAAGCCUACCAAGGCGACGAUCGGUAGCUGUUCUGAGAGGAAGAUCAGCCACACUGGGACUGAGACACGGCCCAGACUCCUACGGGAGGCAGCAGUUGGGAAUCUUGGACAAUGGGGAAACCCUGAUCCAGCCAUGCCGCGUGAGUGAUGAAGGCCUUCGGGUUGUAAAACUCUUUCGACGGGGACGAUAAUGACGGUACCCGUAGAAGAAGCUCCGGCUAACUUCGCGCCAGCAGCCGC
rnacentral:rRNA from 1 species